GAAAAGGCAGAACCAUACGUCAUAGAUGUCUCAGGAGGAUAUAUGGAGUGAAAACAGUUUUAAAACCUCCCACAAAUGCACACAAUAAAUCCAGAUACACGCACAGUAAUUCACAUCUCCAGCACACACGCACGAGAAUUCACGAAUGCACACUGAAAUCCACAAACACGAGUUGCAUCUUCCUGCACAACUGGAGGCGACAGUUUCAGGACCGCAGUUCUAGGACCAUAGGUUUUUAGUAACGACGCCCCCUAGCGAAUUAGGACCAGCAAAUAUGGAUGACAAUCAGAGUUGAAGUGGAGGAAUGUAAUCGAAUCAUAGACAAACAAUUGAGAAAAAAGGGAAGAGCAUCCAGUUGGGUGACUAUUAUAGGGCAGAACCAAAAGCGGCGAAGAUCGGUUCCACCCGGAGAUGGUUUCCACCCAGGCCGAAUAUUUCAAGCACCUGCACUUCCUGGUUUCCAGGGGCAACACAAUCGGGACCUUACGAGCCACAGGUGAGAAGGAUUAAGGUGGUGAUUUACAAUUGGAGGACGUGUGAAGAGGAGUUGGCGGUCGAAUCCUGGGCGAGCUCUUUCCGCCUAGGGCGAACCAAACCACAAACUCCGAGGGAAAAGCCUGACGGCUCCGUUGAU